GCCUGUCCACCCCAGAUAACACCUUCCCUGUUACUUUCCUCCUUAGGCAACCCACGUACGCGACCUCCCUCUCUCUCGUGUCCUCUUCCAUCUAAGCCGCCGCCACAAGCAUCGCCAGCGGGAGAGGAGCUAGCUCCGUUCUCCCACCAACUUUGUCGCCACAAGAGAUGAGAGGGUCGGAGGAGAAGGCGGCGGCGGCGUUGGUUUCGAUCUGUGAUCUGCCUCGAUGUGGGAGGCGGCGGAUCGAUUCGGUCGAAGUUGUUGUCGGAGGUGCUGGGUGGUAGGAGCACCACCCGACGGCCCUGGUGAACGACGCUGGGGCCACCUGAGGAGGGCGGCGAGUUUGUUGACGACUGCAACGAGAGCUCGUCGGAUCCGUCAUCGGCGUCGUUCUUCUGCUUGAGACAGCCGUCGUCUACGUGACCUCCUCGCCACCACGGGUGGACGCUGAUUUGUCAUACACGAACAAGGAACACACGGCUGGAGAACAUGACAUGGAGGAUCUGGAUCCUGGCAAAUAAGAAGGAGGAUGAGAACUGAAGCAUGGAUCUGUACUAUGCUAUCUGGAUUUGUGAUCUUAUUCAUGGAAACAGUGAAAAUAGCGAGUACCGGUCAUUAUUUGGUCCCAGUUUUAGCCAUACACAAUCAUGCCGGUCGGACCGUUCCCUCGUCACUGCGGCAUGCCAAGAAGAGGCAACAUCUUUCAGCUAUAAGUGCUCAGAUUUUUCUGACGGGUCAUGAAACAAGAACCGAUGAGACGAUGAGUUGCAAACCUUCCUGAAAUUGUGUACAAGACCUAAAGACCCAACGGUCUGGUCUUUCCCAUUCUUGGCCAUCGGGAGGAAGCAGAGCAGCUGCCAGCGGCCGGGGAGGUGGGGCGGUGGAUGAGAGGAAGCGGCUGCGAGCACGCACCGGUUGUGCACCUCGAGGGAGGAUUGGGUGGGAGGAGAGGUGGUGGCGGUAGUUUCAAUAUGUGAUCUGCCACCGGCGCCGCCACAAGGAUGGAUGACAAGAUCAGAGGUGAGCCCCCUCCCGUGCGCCGGCGUCGGUGAGGGUCGGGAGCACCACCAAGCCGUUCCGCGGUCCGCCUCCGGCUUCUCUGAUCAGUUGUUGUCGGGUGAGCACCGGUUUUGUCGCCUUUCAUCGAUCGAUCGUGUUGUUCAUCUUCCUGUGCUGGGCCUUCUGCCUCGUUCGUCGUCAAGAUGCGUUUCUGCUAUUCUUCCGUGUGAUUUAGUGUUUUCGGUGUCCUUGGAUUCAUAUGUAUGUUGGUCGAUUCAUGCUCAUUAGGUGUUUGAUGCUAUGCCAUCCAUAUGGUGGCCUGGGAUUUUCGUUUUUUUGUCAGAAAUCGCACGAGUGAGAUCAUUCUCGACUUCGAUUCGGCGUUCGGUGUACUGAGUGGAUCGUCUCUGCAGUUCAGAUGAGCAACAACAUCUCUAUAACUGAAUACAAUAAUGAAGCUGCAUUUGUUUUCAUGGAUGGCUCUUCUCUCAUCAGGCAGCACCAAAUUGGGUUGUGUCUGACAUGCUUUGCAAUGUUAGUGCUGGUCUGAAGCUUUUCUAGAAGCAUUUGUGUGUUCUCAUGCUCAGGAGUUACAAGGAGCAAUGGUGCUAUGGUCUUGAACUUCCACUCAUCUUCUACCGAAGAAUGAUCCUUAGCUUAGUUACUUAGCUUGAUGUCUUUUUUCGAGGAUAGGUUUGGAGUUGCAUCCGCUUUUGUCUAGGUUGGUACUUCGACCAGAAUUCGCAUGACACUAUAUGCCAAGAUUAGUUGUUGUACUAGGUCUAAUGCAUGACUGAAUGGAAACGACUGAUUUAUUUUUCUUGUAAUAUGUGAACCAUGUACUGCAUCAACACUCAAUGUAGAUCGUGCUUUCAAUUGGCUGAGCACAAGAACAGUUGACAUAUUGUGUAUCACCAAUAGCAUAUUCAUGUGCUAACCAAAACAAGAUUUUUUUUGGUGAAACGGUCGCCUCCUACCUGGCACCGCACAACCAUCUCUUAGGAGGCGCCCCAAUGGGGCGCUAUUUGGGCGCCCCAUGCAAAUGGUGCCCAUCGACGAUGCUCUCUACGGGGCGUGUUUCUUCCUUGUGCUGGAGAGUGCUGUUCCCUCGAAAAAUCGCCAUGGUAUGGAUUGACGACCAUGGGGCGUGUUUCUUACCUGUGCCAGAGAGCAGGACGAUGCAGAGCAGGGCCAACCCAAGCUGGAUAGCAGGGCAUCAUCGGAGGCGGAGGAGAGGUUCGACUAGAGCACUGACAUGGUGGGGUUCGGUAGGGUCAAUAAGGUGACCCACAGGGCUUAGCAAGACGAUCAGAGACGCCUGUAGGAGCAGAACACAACUUCGGAAGGAUGUUCAUCGGCAAUUAGAGAAAAAAGGGGUGAAAGGAUCGCUUGUCAAUCUGGCACCGCGCAAACUUCCUCUCAGGAGGCGCCACCGGGUGGCGCUCCAACCCCUAGUCAUAGUAUACAGGAGGAACGAGCAACAGACCUGGCAAGAGGAGGCAAAAUGGAGAAGCCAAGCGUCGAGGAAACUCUGCUCCAGAGGAGCCGGGACAAGAAGGAGCUAGUUGGGGAGAGCUUGCCGGUGGGUGACGAGGUGAAGCGGCAGCUAUGGCUGGCCGGUCCGCUCAUCGCCGGCAGCCUGCUGCAGAACCUGAUCCAGAUGAUCUCCAUCAUGUUCGUUGGACACCUCGGCGAGCUGCCCCUCGCCGGCGCGUCCGUGGCCACCUCCUUCGCCACCGUCACCGGAUUCAGCUUGCUGGUUGGCAUGUCCAAUGCCCUGGACACUCUGUGCGGCCAAGCAUUUGGCGCCGGGCAAUAUCACCUCCUCGGCAUCUACAAGCAACGCGCCAUGCUACUACUCACCGUCGUGAGCAUCCCCGUCGCCUUCAUGUGGUUCCACACCGGCCAGAUCCUGCUCCUGUUCGGCCAGGACCCCGACAUCGCCAUGGAGGCAGGCACGUACGCACGGUGGAUGAUCCCGGGUCUCUUCGCCUACGGACUGCUGCAGUGCCACGUCCGGUUCCUGCAGGCACAGAACGUCGUGCUCCCGGUAAUGGUCAGCGCCGGCGCGGCCGCCCUGUUUCAUCUGCUCGUCUGCUGGCUGCUCGUGUACGUUGCCGGGAUGGGCGGCAAGGGCGCUGCUCUUAGCAACGCCGUCUCCUACUGGGUGUACGUGAUCUUACUGGCAGUGUAUGUGAGGAUGUCGAGCUCUUGCCAGCAGACGUGGACCGGGUUCUCCAUGGAAGCCUUCCAUGGGGCGCAUGACUUUUUGAGGCUCGCCGUGCCGUCUGCUCUCAUGCUCUGCAUGGAAUGGUGGUCGUUCGAAAUCCUCGUGCUACUUUCGGGGCUUCUUCCAAACCCCAAGCUGGAAACAUCCGUUCUGUCGAUCACACUCAACACGGCUAACUGCCUCUUCAUGAUCCCCUAUGGCCUUGGCGCUGCCAUAAGCACCCGUGUCUCGAACGAGCUCGGGGCGGGGCGGCCACGGGCAGCCCGCCUCGCCAUGCGGGUCGUCGUGGUCUUGGCCAUCUCGGAAGGAACUGUCAUGGGGAUGGUCGUGGUCCUCCUGCUCUUCGUCUGGGGCCAUGCGUACAGCGACGAGGAGGAGGUUGUGAGAUACGUUGCCAGGAUGCUACUGGUCAUCUCGGUUGCCAACUUCUUUGAUGGAAUUCAGUGUGUUCUCUCGGGUGUGGCUAGAGGCUGUGGGUGGCAGAAGACCUGUGCAUGUAUCAACCUCGGCGCGUUCUACUUAAGGCCAGUUCUUUUGGGCGAUUCUACCAGAAUCGCCCCCCUCCUCAGCUUCUUCCAGAAUCACCACUUCAUAUAUUUUUUACAAUCCUAGCUAAUUAGACUUUAACUAGAUAGAAUUAUAAAAAAUAUAUGGAGUGACGAUUCUGGGAGAAGCUGGGGAGGGGGGAGAUUUUGGGAGAAUCGUCGAAAAGAACUGGCCCUUAGUUGGUGUACCGGCAGCCUACCUCGUAGCCUUCACGCUGCGCGUCGGAGGGAUGGUGCCUUUCCUUGUAUUUAUUUGGUUUUCUUGAACUUUUAUGGGUUUGAUAGCAUGCUAAUAGUGUGAAAAUAAUGAUGUGUGGCCAGGGCCUUUGGAUGGGAAUCAUAUGCGGUAUUCUGGUGCAGGUCUUGCUGCUCGUGACUAUCACGCUAUGCGCUGACUGGCAGAAGGAGGCAACCAAGGCGAAGAACAGAGUCUUUGUUUCUUCUCCUCCAAUGGACCUCCUCACGACAUGAAGAUGAGGGCUUGUGGUAAUGAAGCAGCCAAACAGGGCGCACGCUGCGAAUUAACAACAAUGACAGUGUGUACUUUUUGGGGGCAAGACGCGUGGUUAACGAAGCCAUGUUCUCUAGUCUCGCCCUAAGGUCGUGGGAGAAUGAACCAUGCAUUGACAACUUGAUUCACUAUACCACAUGUUUUUCUCUCAA